UACGGAGGGUGCAAGCGUUAAUCGGAAUUACUGGGCGUAAAGCGCACGCAGGCGGUUUGUUAAGUCAGAUGUGAAAUCCCCGAGCUUAACUUGGGAACUGCAUUUGAAACUGGCAGGCUAGAGUCUUGUAGAGGGGGGUAGAAUUCCAGGUGUAGCGGUGAAAUGCGUAGAGAUCUGGAGGAAUACCGGUGGCGAAGGCGGCCCCCUGGACAAAGACUGACGCUCAGGUGCGAAAGCGUGGGGAGCAAACAGG
rnacentral:rRNA from 1 species